rnacentral:rRNA from 1 species
UACGAAUGGAGCAAGCGUUGUUCGGAAUCACUGGGCUUAAAGCGUGCGCAGGCGGUUUUGCAAGUCAGAAGUGAAAGCCUGGGGCUCAACCCCAGAACUGCUUUUGAAACUGCAAAACUAGAAUCCUGGAGAGGUCGGGAGAAUUCCUAGUGUAGAGGUGAAAUUCGCAGAUAUUAGGAGGAAUACCAGUGGCGUAGGCGCCCGACGGGACAGGUACUGACGCUCAGGCACGAAAGCGUGGGGAGCAAACAGG